GACGUAGGGCGCGAGCGUUGUCCGGAUUUAUUGGGCGUAAAGAGCCGUAGAGCGGCUCGUUGCGUCGGCUGUGAAAACCCGCAGCUCAACUGUGGGCUUGCAGCUGAUACGGGCGGGCUGGAGUUCGGUAGGGGAGAUCGGAAUUCCUGGUGUAGCGGUGAAAUGCGCAGAUAUCGGGAGGAACACCUAUGGCGAAGGCAGCUCGCUGGGACGUUACUGACGCUGAGACGCGAAAGCGUGGGGAGCAAACAGG
rnacentral:rRNA from 1 species